GUCUCUAAGCAAUGGAUGUCUUGGCUCCUCACACGAUGAAGAACGUGGCAUAAUGUGUUAAGUAACCGGAGUUGCAAACAUCAUGACAGGUUAAUCUUUGAA
rfam:Trichomonas vaginalis G3, whole genome shotgun sequence.